AACGCACCUUGCGCUCCUUGGUAUUCCUUGGAGCAUGCCUGUUUGAGUAUCAUGAAAUUCUCAAAGUAAACCUUUUGUUAAUUCAAUUGGCCUUGCUUUGGAUUUGGAGGUCUUGCAGAUGUCACAGUCUGCUCCUCUUAAAUGAAUUAGCUGGAUCUCAGUAUACACUUGGUUCCACUCGGCGUGAUAAGUAUCACUCGCUGAGGACACUGUAAAAGGUGGCCAGGCAAUGCAGAUGAACCGCUUCUAAUAGUCCAUUCACUUGGACAAUUACAUUUAUGAUCUGAUCUCAAAUCAGGUAGGACUACCCGCUGAACUUAA
rnacentral:misc_RNA from 1 species